CAUGGGAUCCUCGAGAUUAAUUGC
rnacentral:miRNA from 1 species